UGCAAGUCGAACGCUUUGUUUUUAAUUGAUAUGAAGAGCUUGCUCUGAUUUGAUUUUAUCUGACAAAGAGUGGCGAACGGGUGAGUAACACGUGGGUAACCUACCUCUUAGCAGGGGAUAACAUUUGGAAACAAGUGCUAAUACCGUAUAACACUAACAACCGCAUGGUUGUUAGUUGAAAGAUGGUUCUGCUAUCACUAAGAGAUGGACCCGCGGUGCAUUAGCUAGUUGGUAAGGUAAUGGCUUACCAAGGCGAUGAUGCGUAGCCGAGUUGAGAGACUGAUCGGCCACAAUGGGACUGAGACACGGCCCAUACUCCUACGGGAGGCAGCAGUAGGGAAUCUUCCACAAUGGGCGCAAGCCUGAUGGAGCAACGCCGCGUGUGUGAUGAAGGGUUUCGGCUCGUAAAACACUGUUAUAAGAGAAGAACGACAUUGAGAGUAACUGUUCAGUGUGUGACGGUAUCUUAUCAGAAAGGAACGGCUAAAUACGUGCCAGCAGCCGCGGUAAUACGUAUGUUCCAAGCGUUAUCCGGAUUUAUUGGGCGUAAAGCGAGCGCAGACGGUUAUUUAAGUCUGAAGUGAAAGCCCUCAGCUCAACUGAGGAAGGGCUUUGGAAACUGGAUAACUUGAGUGCAGUAGAGGAAAGUGGAACUCCAUGUGUAGCGGUGAAAUGCGUAGAUAUAUGGAAGAACACCGGUGGCGAAAGCGGCUUUCUGGACUGUAACUGACGUUGAGGCUCGAAAGUGUGGGUAGCAAACAGGAUUAGAUACCCUGGUAGUCCACACCGUAAACGAUGAGUGCUAGAUGUUCGAGGGUUUCCGCCCUUGAGUGUCGCAGCUAACGCAUUAAGCACUCCGCCUGGGGAGUACGACCGCAAGGUUGAAACUCAAAGGAAUUGACGGGGACCCGCACAAGCGGUGGAGCAUGUGGUUUAAUUCGAAGCAACGCGAAGAACCUUACCAGGUCUUGACAUCCCUUGCUAAUCCUAGAAAUAGGAUGUUCCCUUCGGGGACAAGGUGACAGGUGGUGCAUGGUUGUCGUCAGCUCGUGUCGUGAGAUGUUGGGUUAAGUCCC
rnacentral:rRNA from 1 species